rnacentral:lncRNA from 1 species
UUGGAGUUUUCGAAACUAUUUUGUCGUUCACUCAUAGAUUAAAUUUUAUGUAUAUUUGAUGCCAUAAAUUAACAAAUAAUUAGGCUAAGUGGUAAGAAAGGUGUACCAAUAUCCCUGAGGUCAGUGGUUAGAAAGAUAAUCUAGAUUAUAGAAAUGAGUAUACGGUGAUGCUUGGACACAAUGAUACCUCGGUGUGUAUCACGAACAAGUAUUCGUUUGAUUAUAAAUCAAUAUGCAUUGUAUGGAACAUGUGGAAUACUUUGUG